UAAAAAGUGACUUCAAAGAUAAAAAUGGAAAUCAAGCAAGGUAUGCUACAUAUUAUUGUUGUAAAACGACAACUAUAUAUUGUUGUUGUACAACAUAAGAAAAGUGAAAUCAAACGGUUACCUCUAACAAUAUAAACCAUCUCAAGACUUCCUGUGGUAUCUUUAGAAGGCAAAUCUUGUGCUUUCACGACUCUUACAAACAGGAAUUGCGUAGGCUCACCUUAGUCAUAUGUGCUGGAUGUUCUGCCACCUCGAACAACUCAGCGCCCCACUAUACACC
rnacentral:lncRNA from 1 species